UAUGUGAUGCAAUAAAUAGUUAUGGAACCAGGUCAGAAUCGGAAGAUAGCAGCCUUAACAUUUAUUAUUUAUGUGCAUCUUUUUUUU
rnacentral:SRP_RNA from 1 species